AACGAACGCUGGCGGCAGGCUUAACACAUGCAAGUCGAACGGGUGUAGCAAUACAUCAGUGGCAGACGGGUGAGUAACACGUGGGAACCUUCCUAGGGGUACGGAACAACUCAGGGAAACUUGAGCUAAUACCGUAUACGUCCGUGAGGAGAAGGAUUUAUCGCCCUUAGACGGGCCCGCGUCGGAUUAGCUCGUUGGUGGGGUAACGGCCUCCCAAGGCGACGAUCCGUAGCUGAUCUUAGAGGAUGAUCAGCCACACUGGGACUGAGACACGGCCCAGACUCCUACGGGAGGCAGCAGUGGGGAAUCUUGGACAAUGGGCGCAAGCCUGGUCCAGCCAUGCCGCGUGAGUGAAGAAGGCCUUAGGGUUGUAAAGCUCUUUUGCCAGGGACGAUAAUGACGGUACCUGGAGAAUAAGCCCCGGCAAACUUCGUGCCAGCCGCCGCAGUAAAAC
rnacentral:rRNA from 1 species